CCCCUAGACGUUCUGGGCUGCACGCGCGCUACAAUAAUACGCACAGUGAGUAUCACCGAGCUCGAAAGGGCAAGGUAAACAAUAGAAAAGGUACUGUAAUGGUUAUAGAUCCUUGUAAUUAUUGAUCUUCAACGAGGAAUUCCUAGUAAGUAUGUGUCAUCAUCACGCACUGAUUACGUCCCUGCCCUUUGUACACACCGCCCGUCGCUCCUACCGAUUGGGUGAGCCGAUGAAACUCUCGGAUGUAGGCUAUUCAUAGCCCGCAGAAGAGAUUUGAAUCGUAGCGCUUAGAGGAAGGAGAAGUCGUAACA
rnacentral:rRNA from 1 species